rnacentral:lncRNA from 1 species
GCUGUCCGCGGGCACCCAGUGGCACCAAGGGCCACCGCCACCCGGCCGUGACAGCCGAGCCUCCUCCCCGCGGCCCUGCACGCCCCGAAGCCCAGAGCGCAGUGCUGUGGCAGCAUGGAUCAGCCGGGCCCGCCGGCUCCCGCCCGGGAAGAGAAUGAAGUCAAGUAUGACACUAAUAACAACGAGGAGGAGGGGGAACAGCUCGAUCUGGACAGCGGAGACGAAGCUCCAGAGGCCGACAGGCAGGCUCCAGACUCCGCAGAGGCAGGGGACGCGGGGGCAGAGGCUCCUGCCGCCGCCGCCGCCGCUGCCGCCGCCGCUGCCGCCGUGGGACCCUGUGCAUCCUCCAGCCACCACCCAGGGACCAGCCAGCCUACCUGCGGGUUGGAUCGUCCGGGGGAAGGAUAUGAAAAAGGACCAGGAGUGGAACCACUGAAACCCGGGGUCCUGUCGAGAGUCAACCCCUAUUCUGUCAUCGACAUCACGCCCCUCCAGGAAGACCAGCCGCCAGCCCCAGACCCGGACGCCGAGGGGGAGGGUGGGGGCCUGCAUGUGCCCAGCGGGUACUCGGUGCCAGUGCCCUGCGGCUAUGCCGUGCCCUCCAGCCUGCCGCUGCUGCUGCCGGCCUACACCAGUCCCGUGCUGCCCGCCCCGCCCGCCGACCCUGCAGAGACUCAGGAGGCGGCAGAAGACAGCCAGCUGAAUUCCUUGAGUUCUGAGGAUCCAGCAAACAGUGAGGAUCCAGACCAGAAGGAGGACAGCACCCUGGCCCGCUGGGUCGCGGAUCCGGCCAACACAGCCUGGAUGGAGAAUCCGGAGGAAGCCAUUUACGACGAUGUGCCAAGAGAAAAUUCAGACUCUGAGCCAGAUGAAAUGAUUUAUGACGACGUGGAGAACGGAGAUGAAGGCGGCCACAGCUCUCUGGAGUACGGGUGGAGCUCCAGCGAGUUCGAGAGCUACGAGGAGCAGAGCGACUCGGAGAGCAGGAGCGGGGUCCCCCGCUCCUUCCUGCGCGGCGACCACAGGAAGCAGCUCUCCCAUGACCUAACCCGCUUAAAGGAGCACUAUGAGAGAAAGAUGAGAGAGUUGAUGGCAAACACGGUGGGCGCGGUAGAGAUUCAGCAGCUAAAGCACAAACAUGAACUGAAGAUGCAGAAACUGGUGAGGGCUGCAAGAGAGGGCACCAAGGACGGGCUGGAGAGGACAAAGGCUGCCGUGAAGCGGGGACGCUCGUUUAUCAGGACCAAAUCCUUCGUCUCUUCAGACCACAGAUCCUGUCUUGAAGAGGAGCAGAACGUGUUCAUCGACGUGGACUGCAGGCACCCCGAAGCCAUCCUCACCCCGAUGCCCGAAGGCUUGUCUCAGCAGCAGGUCGUAAGAAGGUACAUUCUGGGCUCGAUCGUAGAAAGCGAGAAAAACUACGUGGAUGCUCUGAAGAGGAUAUUGGAGCAAUAUGAGAAGCCGCUGUGGGAGAUGGAGCCCAAGGUGCUGAGCGAGAGGAAGCUGAGGACCGUCUUCUUCCGGGUCAAGGAGGUGCUGCAGUGCCACUGCCUGCUCCAGAUCGCGCUGGCCGGCCGCGUGGCUGAGUGGGACUCGGUGGAGAUGAUCGGAGACGUCUUCGUGGCCUCGUUUUCCAAAUCCAUGGUGCUGGAUGCUUAUAGUGAAUAUGUGAAUAAUUUCAGCACAGCUGUGGCAAUCCUUAAGAAAACGUGUGCUACAAAACCUGCUUUCCUUGAAUUUUUAAAGCAGUGUCAGGAGUCCAGCCCUGACCGCGUCACACUGCACAGCCUGAUGACGAAGCCCAUCCAGAGGUUCCCGCAGUUCAUCCUGCUGCUCCAGGACAUGCUGAAGAACACGCCCCGGGGACACCCUGACCGGCUGCCCCUCCAGAUGGCGCUGACGGAGCUCGAGACGCUAGCAGAGAAGCUGAACGAGAGGAAGAGAGACGCCGACCAGCGCUGUGAAAUCAAGCAGAUAGCAAAAGCCAUCAACGAGCGGUACCUGAACAAGCUUCUCAGCAGCGGCAGUCGCUACCUCAUCCGCUCUGACGACGUGAUAGAGACCGUCUACAAUGACCGGGGGGAGAUCAUGAAAACCAAGGAGCGCCGGCUCUUCAUGCUGAACGACGUGCUCAUGUGCGCCACGGUCAGCGCCCGCGCUUCCCACGACAGCAGUGCGGUGACGUCGGGCCAGAGGUACCUGCUGAAGUGGAGCGUCCCGCUCGGGCAGGUGGAGGUGGUCGAGUACGGCGGCGGCGAGGGCACGGCAGAGGGCGGCCGCUGUCCCGCGGGCCCUGCGCCCGAGAACCUGCUGGCACCCGGUGCCAAGUCCCACCGAGUCUACGUGGGGCCGGGGCAGCUGUAUCAAGACCUCCAAAACUUGCUGCAUGACCUCAGCGUCAUCGGCCACAUCACUCAGCUGGUCGGAAACCUCAAAGGAAACUAUCAGAACCUGAACCCGUCGGUGGCCCAGGACUGGAUGUCCGGCUUACAGAGGCUGAUUCUGAAGAAGGAAGAGGAGAUCCGAGCGGCCGACUGCUGCCGGGUGCAGCUGCAGCUCCCGGGGAAGCAGGACAAGUCCGGCCGGCCGACUUUCUUCACCGCCGUGUUCAACACCUUCACUCCCGCCAUCAAGGAGUCCUGGAUCAACAGCCUGCAGAUGGCCAAGCUCGCCCUGGAGGAGGAGAACCACCUGGGCUGGUUUUGCGUGGAGGAUGACGGGAACCAGAUCAGGAAGGAGAGACACCCGCUCCUUCUGGGACACAUGCCUGUGACGGUGGCCAAGCAGCAGGAGUUCAAGAUUGAAUGUGCUGUUUAUAAUCCUGAGCCGUACCUGAAUAAUGAGAAUCAGUCAGACUCGUUUUCCGUGGCUCACGGUUUCCUGUGGAUCGGGAGCUGCACCAGUCAGAUGGGGCAGAUCGCCAUCGUCUCCUUCCACAACUCCAGCCCCAAGGUCAUCGAGUGCUUCAACGUGGAGUCCCGCGUGCUGUGCAUGGUAUAUGUGCCCGCCGAGGACAGGCCCCGCGAGCCCGAGGGCGGGGGCCGGGUGCUGGGCGUGCCCGCUGUCUGCCUGGGGACGGAGGAGGGCAGCAUUUCCAUCUACAAGAGCAGCCAAGGCUGCAAGAAGCUGCGGCUGCAGCACUUCUUCACCCCGGAGAAGUCCACGGUCACGAGCCUGGCCUGCACGGCCCAGAGCCUGUACGUCGGCCUGGUCAACGGCACCGUGGCCAUCUACGCCAGAGCGAACGAUGGAUCCUGGAAUUCCGAGCCUCAAACGGUGAUUAAGUUAGGCGUCCUCCCAGUUCGAAGUCUGCUCUUGAUGGAAGACACGCUCUGGGCGGCGUCUGGAGGUCAAGUUUCCAUCAUCGGUGUGGAGACUCUCGCCGUGGAGGGCCAGCUGGAGGCCCACCAGGAGGAGGGCAUGGUGGUCUCACACAUGGCCAUCGCCGGCGUGGGCAUCUGGGUCGCCUUCACCUCGGGGUCCACGCUCCGCUUGUUCCACACGGAGACACUCAAGCACCUGCAGGACGUCAACAUCGCCACCCCCGUCCACCACAUGCUGCCAGGGCACCAGCGGCUGUCUGUGACCAGCCUGCUCGUCUGCCACGGCCUGCUGAUGGUGGGCACCAGCCUGGGUGUCGUGGUGGCCCUGCCUGUCCCACGUCUGCAGGGAAUCCCCAAGGUGACUGGACGGGGCCUGGUCUCCCACCACGCGCACCACGGGCCUGUCAAGUUCCUGGUCAUGGCUGCAGCCGCCCUCAAGGCCGACAAGGACAGGCCCAGGGACAGCCCGCCACCCGGCGCUGACCCCCAGGACGAUGAGCAGCGGGAUGCUCCCCUUGGCGAGGGGCCAGGGCUCUGCAUGGGCCGGGGCGGCCCCGACGCCGUCUGGCUGGGCACUUCGCCGGGCUCCGUCACCCAGGGCAGCGACGUCUCCUCCUCGUCCGGGUCCCCGACCCCUUCCCAGGGCUCCGGCUCCCUGGAGCCCCGGCCAGAGGAGAGCCUCGCCCAGGACCUCCUGCGCCUGCCCUGCACGUCCCCCAGCCGAGGCCGGCGGGCCCGGAGGCCCAGGGCCAGCUCCGUGCUGGUGGCCUGCGGGGGCCAGGGCCACCGGCGCGUGAGCAGGAAGGCCAGGCCACAGCGGCCGGAGGAGCUGGCCUCGUCCCUCAUGGUCUGGCAGAUCCCCCUGCUGCAUGUGUGAGCCAUGGGCCCGUUGGGGCCUUCCCGCCAAGGCCAACGCCCCGCGUGGGCUCACUGCUGCCGCGCUGCUUGGGGACGGAUCCCCGACCGUCUCUGGGGCCGAAAUGUGCAAUACCGUCCUGGGGGCAUCUCCAGGCAGCCCCCAGCUGCCCCUCGCGCAGCAGAGCCUGGGGUGAACGCUCGUGGAGCUGAGGGUGCUCCGCGUCUGCCCCGUUGCCCGCAGACUCGGAGCUCACAGGAAGUCUCGCAGAUGCGGCAGUGGAGGGGUAUUAACAGCCUCAGAGCAGUUUUACUUGAUUCAGAUUCACUACUUUUAUUUAUGUUGUAUAUCCUUUAACGCCAAAAUAGACUUCGUAACAAUGAAGAAAGCCGGUUAAAAUCUACCAGUCCAGGUGGUGUUAUUUGCUUUCUGAGUUGAGCUGGGUUUUCCAAAGUGCUAUAAUACGUGUAUUGUAUAUUUUUAACAAAGUAGUAUUUUUAUAUCGCAAUUUUCUAUUAAAAAAAUUAACAAAGUUUUAGUCAAUAUAUUAUGUGUAACAUUUUACAAAAAAUGUUUCCUUUGAACCAAAAUGCUCAAUUCCUAUCAAUAUUUAGAGUCAAGGGUCGACACCACAAUACCCAUGUCAGAGAUGCUUGUGUCUUCAUGUCACCGGAGAUGGGCAGACGGCGUUUCGGUCCAUCCUUCCCUGCUGUGUUGCACCUGUCGACCAGGAGCACUGUCUGGCUUUGAACGCGUCCUGGAGGAUGCAUGGUGCUGGUCGAGGGGGGAGGCCUUGCUGGCGGUGGACACAG